rnacentral:rRNA from 16 species
CACAAUAAGGAUUGACAGAUUGAGAGCUCUUUCUUGAUUUUGUG